AACGAACGCUGGCGGCAGGCCUAACACAUGCAAGUCGAGCGAGGACUUCGGUCCUAGCGGCGGACGGGUGAGUAACGCGUGGGAACGUGCCCUUUGCUUCGGAAUAGCCCUGGGAAACUGGGAGUAAUACCGGAUGAGCCCUUUGGGGGAAAGAUUUAUCGGCGAAGGAUCGGCCCGCGUUGGAUUAGGUAGUUGGUGGGGUAAUGGCCUACCAAGCCGACGAUCCAUAGCUGGUUUGAGAGGAUGAGCAGCCACACUGGGACUGGGACACGGCCCAGACUCCUACGGGAGGCAGCAGUGGGGAAUCUUAGACAAUGGGGGAAACCCUGAUCUAGCCAUGCCGCGUGAGCGAUGAAGGCCUGAGGGUUGUAAAGCUCUUUCAGCUGGGAAGAUAAUGACGGUACCAGCAGAAGAAGCCCCGGCUAACUCCGUG
rnacentral:rRNA from 1 species